rfam:Pan troglodytes isolate Yerkes chimp pedigree #C0471 (Clint) chromosome 3, whole genome shotgun sequence.
GCCAGGCGUGGUUGUGCACGCCUGUAAUCCUAGCUACUCAGGAGGCUGAGACAGGAGAAUCGCUUGAACCCAGGAAGGGGAGGGUGCAGUGAGCUGAGAUCACGCCACUGCACUCCAGCCUGGGUGACAGAGCAAGACUCUGUCUCAA